GAUGUCUCAGUACAAGCCGAAUUAAGGUGAAACCGCGAAAGGCUCAUUANNNNNNNNUGGUUCCUUAGAUCGUACCCACAUUUACUUGGAUACUGUGGUAAUUCUAGAGCUAAUACAUGCAAACAGAGCUCCAACCGGAAACGGAAGGAGCGCUUUUAUUAGAUCAAAACCAAUCGGUGGCGGUUCGUCCGUCAUCGUACAACUUGGUGACUCUGAAUAACUUUAAGCUGAUCGCACGGUCUCGCACCGGCGACGCAUCUUUCAAAUGUCUGCCUUAUCAACUGUCGAUGGUAGGUUCUGCGCCUACCAUGGUUGUAACGGGUAACGGGGAAUCAGGGUUCGAUUCCGGAGAGGGAGCCUGAGAAACGGCUACCACAUCCAAGGAAGGCAGCAGGCGCGCAAAUUACCCACUCCCGGCACGGGGAGGUAGUGACGAAAAAUAACGAUACGGGACUCAUCCGAGGCCCCGUAAUCGGAAUGAGUACACUCUAAACCCUUUAACGAGGAUCAAUUGGAGGGCAAGUCUGGUGCCAGCAGCCGCGGUAAUUCCAGCUCCAAUAGCGUAUAUUAAAGUUGUUGCGGUUAAAAAGCUCGUAGUCGAAUCUGUGUCCCGCGCCGCCGGUUCAUCGUUCGCGGUGUUAACUGGCGUGUCGCGGGACGUCCUGCCGGUGGGCUUAGCUCGCGAGGGCGGCCCAACUCAAUCCCGCCGCGGUGCUCUUCAUUGAGUGUCGAGGUGGGCCGGCACGUUUACUUUGAACAAAUUAGAGUGCUUAAAGCAGGCUAAAACUUCGCCUGAAUACUGUGUGCAUGGAAUAAUGAAUAGGACCUCGGUUCUAUUUUGUUGGUUUUCGGAACCCCGAGGUAAUGAUUAAUAGGAACGGAUGGGGGGCAUUCGUAUGCGACGUUA
rnacentral:rRNA from 1 species